GUGGGGAAUUUUGGACAAUGGGGGCAACCCUGAUCCAGCCAUGCCGCGUGCGGGAAGAAGGCCUUCGGGUUGUAAACCGCUUUUGUCAGGGAAGAAAUCCUUUGGGUUAAUACCUCGGAGGGAUGACGGUACCUGAAGAAUAAGCACCGGCUAACUACGUGCCAGCAGCCGCGUUAAUACGUAGGGUGCGAGCGUUAAUCGGAAUUACUGGGCGUAAAGCUUGCGCAGGCGGUUUUGUAAGAUGGAUGUGAAAUCCCCGGGCUCAACCUGGGAACUGCAUUGGUGACUGCAAGGCUGGAGUGCGGCAGAGGGGGAUGGAAUUCCGCGUGUAGCAGUGAAAUGCGUAGAUAUGCGGAGGAACACCGAUGGCGAAGGCAAUCCCCUGGGCCUGCACUGACGCUCAUGCACGAAAGCGUGGGGAGCAAACAGGAUUAGAAACCCGGGUAGUCC
rnacentral:rRNA from 1 species